GCCUAACAUGCAGUCGACGGUAACGCGAGACAGCUUGCUCUUUUGCUGACGAGUGGCGGACGGGUGAGUAAUGUCUGGGAACCUGCCCGAUGGAGGGGGAUAACUACUGGAAACGGUGGCUAAUACCGCAUAACGUCUACGGACCAAAGAGGGGGAUCUUCGGACCUCUCGCUAUCGGAUGUGCCCAUAUGGGAUUAGCUAGUAGGUGGGGUAACGGCUCACCUAGGCGACGAUCCCUAGCUGGUCUGAGAGGAUGACCAGCCACACUGGAACUGAGACACGGUCCAGACUCCUACGGGAGGCAGCAGUGGGGAAUAUUGCACAAUGGGCGCAAGCCUGAUGCAGCCAUGCCGCGUGUAUGAAGAAGGCCUUCGGGUUGUAAAGUACUUUCAGCGGAGAGGAAGGUGUAUCAGGUUAAUACCCUUAUCUGAUUGACGUUACCCGCAGAAUAAGCACCGGCUAACUCCGUGCCAGCAGCCGCGGUAAUACGGAGGGUGCAAGCGUUAAUCGGAAUUACUGGGCGUAAAGCGCACGCAGGCGGUCUGUCAAGUCAGAUGUGAAAUCCCCGGGCUCAACCUGGGAACUGCAUUUUAAACUGGCUAGCUAGAGUCUUGUAGAGGGGGGUAGAAUUCCACGUGUAGCGGUGAAAUGCGUAGAUAUCUGGAGGAAUACCGGUGGCGAAGGCGGCCCCCUGGACUAAUACUGACGCUCAGGUGCGAAAGCGUGGGGAGCAAACAGGAUUAGAUACCCUGGUAGUCCACGCCGUAAACGAUGUCAACUUGCAGGUUGUGCCCUUGAGGCGUGGCUUCCGGAGCUAACGCGUUAAUUCAACCGCCUGGGGAUUACGGCCGCAAAGUUAAAACUCAAAUGAAUUGACGGGAGCCCCCACAACCGGUGAAGCAUGUGAUUUAUUUCAAUGCACCGCGAAAAACCUUACUUACUUUUAAUUUCCGGAAAAUUUAAAAAAUUGGUUGGUGCCUUCGGAAACCCUGAAACAGGUGCUGCAGGGCUGUCCUCACCUCGUGUUGUGAAAUGUUGGGUUAAGUCCCCCAACGAGCGCAACCCUUUUCUUU
rnacentral:rRNA from 1 species